GCAGUCUUGUAUCCUUGGAGAAGCAAGGGCAGAAUUAUAAAGACUGGUGUGGAGUGUUCAGCCAAGAGAAAGCAGUCAGAAGCAUUUUCGGGAAGUUUGACAUGUGUCUUCCGGAGUUUGUGGCCCUGACAGGCUGCUGUUAAACUCUUCCUUGAAAAUCAAAGGUCUGGGACUGACAGGAGCUGCCUCUGGAGGAAGGUUUGGGUGGGGCUGGGAGUCAGGGAGCUCUGUGCACUCAAAAGACCAGCAGGAAUGCAGUCUGCAGUCUGCAGUUUGGGACUUGGACGUCUUCAGGCUGGCCUUAGGCUGGAGUUAAGGUCAGAGUGACGCCAUCUCUUCAAAGUGCCUUGGGGAUAGUGUAUCUCCUUCCAAAAAAGGAACUUUGAAGGCAUCAGCUAAGGUUCUGAGACCUCUUCCUUGAAGUAAACAUCAUGAAACUUGUCUUGUAGUUGAGGAAACCAGAACAGAGAAAAGUGACUUCCCGAGUUAGCAAAACACUGCAGUAACUCCCAGAGCUCAACUUUAUGCUAAGGAUCUCCAUACCCCAUCUCGACUUUGGGAUGUCCCCGACUCAGAAUGCCUAGGCACAUCAAAUGUCAGCGUCCUGGGAGCACGUCAAGAAUGGUAGAUAAAUAGAAUGUUAAGGCACUAAAUUUGUUGGAGUUGUUUUACUUGAGGAAAAAUAAAAACUCAUUUUUUUCGUCUUUGGGAAGUGCUGUAUGUCUCAUCUUAUGAGCCUUGGCAUCUUUUGGAGUUUUAUUGCAACCCCAUAAGAACAGCAAUACCAACCAACUGGAGCUCUCAGGGACUACACCACCCUUCAAAGAGUACACUCGGCACAGAUCCCUGACUCCAGCUGCCUAUGUAGCAGAGGAUGGCCUUGUUGGGCACCAGAGGGAGGAGAAGCCCUUGGUCCUGCCAAGGCUGGACCCUCCGGUGUAGGGGAAUGUCAGGGUGGGGAGGCGAGAAGGGGUGGGCAGUUGGUUGGGGGAAAGGGGAUAACAUUUGAAAUGUAAAUUAAAAAAUCCAAUGAAAUGGAUCAAUAAAAAACUAAAACUAAAAUAAAAUAAAA